CCUACGGGGUGCAGCAGUGGGGAAUACUGGACAAUGGGCGAAAGCCUGAUCCAGCCAUGCCGCGUGUGUGAAGAAGGCCUUCGGGUUGUAAAGCACUUUCAGUGGGGAAGAAAGCCUUGGGGCUAAUACCCUCGAGGAAGGACAUCACCCACAGAAGAAGCACCGGCUAACUCCGUGCCAGCAGCCGCGGUAAUACGGAGGGUGCGAGCGUUAAUCGGAAUUACUGGGCGUAAAGCGCGCGUAGGCGGUCUGAUAAGCCGGUUGUGAAAGCCCCGGGCUCAACCUGGGAACGGCAUCCGGAACUGUCAGGCUAGAGUGCAGGAGAGGAAGGUAGAAUUCCCGGUGUAGCGGUGAAAUGCGUAGAGAUCGGGAGGAAUACCAGUGGCGAAGGCGGCCUUCUGGACUGACACUGACGCUGAGGUGCGAAAGCGUGGGUAGCAAACAGGAUUAGAUACCCUAGUAGUC
rnacentral:rRNA from 1 species